rnacentral:rRNA from 1 species
CGGACGGGUGAGUAACGCGUGGAAAACCUGCCGUAUACUGGGGGAUAACACUUAGAAAUAGGUGCUAAUACCGCAUAAGCGCACAGCUUCGCAUGAAGCGGUGUGAAAAACUCUGGUGGUAUACGAUGGUUCCGCGUCUGAUUAGCUAGUUGGUGGGGUAAUGACCUACCAAGGCAACGAUCAGUAGCCGGCCUGAGAGGGUGAACGGCCACAUUGGGACUGAGACACGGCCCAAACUCCUACGGGAGGCAGCAG